rnacentral:rRNA from 1 species
ACAAAAACAUGUCUCUUUGAUUAUUUAAUUUAUAAGGAGUCUGACCUGCCCGGUGAAUUAUUUAACGGCCGCAGUACUUUGACUGUGCGAAGGUAGCGUAAUUAUUUGCCUUAUAAUUGAAGGCUUGUAUGAAUGGUUUAACGAAAAUAAAUCUGUCUUAAUUUAAUUUUUUUGAAUUUAACUUUUUAGUGAAGAGGCUUAAAUAUAAUUGAUAGACAAGAAGACCCUGUCGAGCUUUAAGUUUUUAUAAAUUUUUAUAUUAUAUUAUCUGUAAAUUUUUAGUUGGGGUGACUAAGGAAUAAUUAUAGUUUCCUUAUUUAUGAGUUUUCAAUUUGUUAAUUUUGAUCCAUUAAAUUAUGAUUAGUAGAAUUAGUUACCGCAGGGAUAACAGCAUAAUCUUUUUAGAGAGUUCAUAUCGAAAAAUUGGUUUGUGACCUCGAUGUUGGAUUAAAAUUUCCUAAAGGUGCAGAAGUUUUUAAGGGUUAGUCUGUUCGACUAUUAAAAUUUUACAUGAGCUGAG